UGGCGGACGGGUGAGUAACGCGUGGGUAACCUGCCUUAUACGGGGGGAUAACAGUUGGAAACGGCUGCUAAUACCGCAUAAGCGCACGGCAUCGCAUGAUGCAGUGUGAAAAACUCCGGUGGUAUAAGAUGGACCCGCGUUGGAUUAGCUAGUUGGUGAGGUAACGGCCCACCAAGGCGACGAUCCAUAGCCGACCUGAGAGGGUGACCGGCCACAUUGGGACUGAGACACGGCCCAA
rnacentral:rRNA from 1 species